AGUAUAUUUAACGAAACAGCCAGCUAAAAUUGGCCGGAACACGUUUGAUGAAUCCGAUAGCAUUAAGGGCCUUACAACAGAUACUCUUUAUAUGAAAAUUAUGACUUAAUGUGGGACUGAACAUUAUAAUAAUAAUACUGUUAUUUUUUUUCAGUAGAUGUGAUUAAAUUAAUUUCUUGAAAAAGUUCCGGAAACGUUCACUAA